CGGGACUCGACGGUUACAGUUUCGGGAGCAGCACUGUUGCUUGCUAGCAUAUUUUUUUCUUACAUAUAUGAACUGAUGAUGCUUUAUUUGGUGUUGUUUCCCAUGGCAGUACAUUAUGGCUUUGUUGACGAUGAUUUCUGCUAAUGUGCACACAGCUGAGGAAUAGACCCGGCAAGGAAGAGAGCUACACCAAUGUAGUCGGUGGAAUUAACAAGCAAAGUAAAUCCUGAAGCUCCUGGUUGUAACAAGAGGAAGUCGAUUUGUCAGUG